CGACCUGCAGACAGUGUCUUAAAGUACUACAGCCUCGGGAAGCAAAGGUGAACAACAUGAAGACAUUUGCGCUGGUUUUCGUUUGCCUGAUCUUGGCUGCAGUUUGCACAGAUGCCAAUCCCAUCAUGAAGGAGAGCGUUGCUAAGCAGCUCUUCCGCAGCAAGAGGCAGGGUACCAGCAUUCUACCAGUUUUUAUGCCAGGACUUGAACAGACACUGGAACAGAUACUGUCCGAGAGAAGAAGCUUUCCGGUGAUGGUCUAGCGCCGAGCUGGAGGGGACCGCGUCCAGGUGGCGCCCAAAACGUGACCCGACGGACGCACGACGACAACGAAGACGACGACGAGGAAUCAAAGACGAGCGUGCGCUUCUAUGUUGGGCUGUUUCCCUUCAGGCCAUCAAGUGAUUCACUAUAGAGUGAUAUCAUCUAAACAUUAAAAGCAUAGGCCUAGACCUUCAUAUUCUAGGUGUGUGAUCUCUUAAACUGUCUAUUUGACUCAUGCAUCACAUUGGAAAUUGUGUAUGAAUUUAAUUAAAAAAUAAAUGCAAAUAUGACUAUAUCAUCGGUUUGACAGUCAAUGGUAUUC